rnacentral:miRNA from 1 species
CAGCGUAUCCCAGUUUGCCCUA